GUUGGGUGCUGUAUGGUGAUAAAGAGUGCACUCAUCAGAGACACUCUCUUUCAUAGAAAUCCAUUGGCUUUGGUACGAGUUGUGUAAGUCAGGGAGAGCUGCUCUCUCUGAGCCAAAGUGAGCUUUGAAUGCCUUCAACCUGGAAAGACAGGUGUGGAGUGUCACAGCAGGAGCACCAUGAGAGUGGAAUCGAACCACAGCGGAGUGUGGAGAUUCAUGUUUAGCCAUGGUGCGUCCUUUUAAAUUCCACUAUUGAGCCAUUUUUUAUUUCUUCCCUCAAGUACCACCUGUUUGUGUACCAUGCUGCUCUCAUACAUAACUACAUUGAUAAAUGAAUAGUAUUCUGUAACAACUGAAGAACAUUUUCAGUUACCAGUAUGUUUAUUUUAAACCUGGGCAAUUUAAACACAACCUUUAAAAUUGAAAUUGAUGUUUCUAAUAUUGUCAACUUCUUCAGGGCCACAGUCCUCAGCUUUGAAGCCAAUGGUUAAGAUAGUAAGGGGAGUUUUUCUUUUCUGGAGGAAAAAUAUAACAAAAACCAGUUUAAAAAUGGGAUUAUUACACAGGAGGAAGUUAA